UACGUAGGGCGCAAGCGUUGUCCGGAAUUAUUGGGCGUAAAGAGCUCGUAGGCGGUCUGUCGCGUCGGAUGUGAAAGCCCGGGGCUUAACCCCGGGUCUGCAUUCGAUACGGGCAGACUAGAGUGUGGUAGGGGAGAUCGGAAUUCCUGGUGUAGCGGUGAAAUGCGCAGAUAUCAGGAGGAACACCGGUGGCGAAGGCGGAUCUCUGGGCCAUUACUGACGCUGAGGAGCGAAAGCGUGGGGAGCGAACCGG
rnacentral:rRNA from 1 species